AGCAAGCUGUAGUGUUGGAGGAGGAGUCAUGGUCUAUAGACAUGAAACAACGAUUUGACAACGAACUGUCCAAAAUUCAAGUUAAUGCUGCAAAAAACAGUAUUUUCUUAACCGAAAGUACUUACCAGAAGUUAAUAAAUGAUAUACAAAAAGCCAAAAUGACUACUAAGAAGGAACCUAGGGACCAUUGGUUGCUGAAUCGCUAUGAUGUGAUCAUUGUAGAAAACAAAAGUAAACUCAUUUAUCCUGUUAAAGAAGGCGUCAUACUAUACAGUAUUACGUCACGUACUUCAUGAAGCUCAUUUGGCUAUUGGACACGGAGGACAUGAUA
rnacentral:lncRNA from 1 species